GUGGGGAAUUUUGGACAAUGGGCGCAAGCCUGAUCCAGCAAUGCCGCGUGCAGGAAGAAGGCCUUCGGGUUGUAAACUGCUUUUGUACGGAACGAAACGGUCCGGGUUAAUACCCUGGGCUAAUGACGGUACCGUAAGAAUAAGCACCGGCUAACUACGUGCCAGCAGCCGCGGUAAUACGUAGGGUGCAAGCGUUAAUCGGAAUUACUGGGCGUAAAGCGUGCGCAGGCGGUUUUGUAAGACAGGCGUGAAAUCACCGGGCUCAACCUGGGAAUUGCGCUUGUGACUGCAAGGCUGGAGUGCGGCAGAGGGGGAUGGAAUUCCGCGUGUAGCAGUGAAAUGCGUAGAUAUGCGGAGGAACACCGAUGGCGAAGGCAAUCCCCUGGGCCUGCACUGACGCUCAUGCACGAAAGCGUGGGGAGCAAACAGGAUUAGAAACCCUUGUAGUCC
rnacentral:rRNA from 1 species